GGUAACCUGCCCAUCAGAAGGGGAUAACACUUGGAAACAGGUGCUAAUACCGUAUAACACUAUUUUCCGCAUGGAAGAAAGUUGAAAGGCGCUUUUGCGCCACUGAUGGAUGGACCCGCGGUGCAUUAGCUAGUUGGUGAGGUAACGGCUCACCAAGGCCACGAUGCAUAGCCGACCUGAGAGGGUGAUCGGCCACACUGGGACUGAGACACGGCCCAGACUCCUACGGGAGGCAGCAGUAGGGAAUCUUCGGCAAUGGACGAAAGUCUGACCGAGCAACGCCGCGUGAGUGAAGAAGGUUUUCGGAUCGUAAAACUCUGUUGUUAGAGAGGAACAAGGAUGAGAGUAGAACGUUCAUCCCUUGACGGUAUCUAACCAGAAAGCCACGGCUAACUACGUGCCAGCAGCCGCGGUAAUACGUAGGUGGCAAGCGUUGUCCGGAUUUAUUGGGCGUAAAGCGAGCGCAGGCGGUUUCUUAAGUCUGAUGUGAAAGCCCCCUGCUCAACCGGGGAGGGUCAUUGGAAACUGGGAGACUUGAGUGCAGAAGAGGAGAGUGGAAUUCCAUGUGUAGCGGUGAAAUGCGUAGAUAUAUGGAGGAACACCAGUGGCGAAGGCGGCUCUCUGGUCUGUAACUGACGCUGAGGCUCGAAAGCGUGGGGAGCGAACAGGAUUAGAUACCCUGGUAGUCCACGCCGUAAAC
rnacentral:rRNA from 1 species